GAUGAACGCUGGCGGCGUGCUUAACACAUGCAAGUCGAACGAUGAAGCCCAGCUUGCUGGGUGGAUUAGUGGCGAACGGGUGAGUAACACGUGAGUAACCUGCUCUUAACUCUGGGAUAAGCCUGGGAAACUGGGUCUAAUACCGGAACGGAGCGUCCACCGCAUGGUGGGUGUUGGAAAGAUUUAUCGGUUUUGGAUGGACUCGCGGCCUAUCAGCUUGUUGGUGAGGUAAUGGCUCACCAAGGCGACGACGGGUAGCCGGCCUGAGAGGGUGACCGGCCACACUGGGACUGAGACACGGCCCAGACUCCUACGGGAGGCAGCAGUGGGGAAUAUUGCACAAUGGGCGCAAGCCUGAUGCAGCGACGCCGCGUGAGGGAUGACGGCCUUCGGGUUGUAAACCUCUUUCAGUAGGGAAGAAGCGAAAGUGACGGUACCUGCAGAAGAAGCACCGGCUAACUACGUG
rnacentral:rRNA from 1 species